rnacentral:lncRNA from 1 species
CCAACCCAGCCCAAUCCAGCCAACUCAGUCCAACUCAACCCAACCCAACCCAGCCCAACCAAACCCAACCAAACCCAACCCAGCCCAAUCCAACCAACCCAGCCCAACUCAACCAAACCUUAUCCAGCCCAACCCAAACCCCAGCCCAACCAAACCAAACCAAAUCCGACCAAAGUGAAGCAAAACAAAACUCUCACACUAUAGGAAAAAACAAAAACAAAACCAAACACCCACCAACAAUAAACCGCACCAACUUUAAAAUUUGGAGCCUUGUUGAAGCUGGAGUUUCACAUGAGGGAAAACAAUGCAAAUUUUACAAGAUCCAAAAGAGAUUGCUACAUGCAUUGCCCCUGUGACAGCCAUUAGCAGUUAUCACCAGCCUGCUUCGUCACCCUAUGGGUU